GCUGCGACGCCUCAGUGGUAAGACAGCGACCUUGUAGUGAGGAGGAGACGCGAGUUCGAUUCUUGCGUGUAGCA